rnacentral:rRNA from 1 species
CCUACGGGGGGCUGCAGUGGGGAAUAUUGGACAAUGGGGGCAACCCUGAUCCAGCCAUGUCGCGUGUGUGAAGAAGGCCCUCGGGUUGUAAAGCACUUUCAGUGAGGAAGAACGCCUGGUGGUUAAUACCCAUCAGGAAAGACAUCACUCACAGAAGAAGCACCGGCUAACUCCGUGCCAGCAGCCGCGGUAAUACGGAGGGUGCGAGCGUUAAUCGGAAUUACUGGGCGUAAAGCGCGCGUAGGUGGCUUGAUAAGCCGGUUGUGAAAGCCCCGGGCUCAACCUGGGAACGGCAUCCGGAACUGUCAAGCUAGAGUGCAGGAGAGGAAGGUAGAAUUCCCGGUGUAGCGGUGAAAUGCGUAGAGAUCGGGAGGAAUACCAGUGGCGAAGGCGGCCUUCUGGACUGACACUGACACUGAGGUGCGAAAGCGUGGGUAGCAAACAGGAUUAGAUACCCCAGUAGUC